GUACCUGAUUUUGCGUAAAAGGGGUUGAACGUAGUAUAUUUGACCAGUGGAUUAGCUUUCUGUAAAUUUUAUAUUUUUGUGAUUGGUGGUAAUUAAUCCUAAACCAUCAGUCAUAGUGCAACUUGGAUGGCCUACCUUAGAAGUCUGCUCUCUUGCACACCUAAUACAGGAUCUAAAGAUCCUGAGAUAUGUGCCCCAGAAGAUCCUCUGCUGAAUUAAGUGAAUCGCACGCUGGGACGGAGCUUCACAGGGACGGGGCUUCGUUACUCGACUUCCCUAGGAUGGGGAGUCACAGACAAUAAAUAUGUAAAUUGAGCCCCAGUGCGCUAUUCAUAUUAUGCCAAUAUUACCCAGUGUAUUG